ACGGGUGAGUAACGCGUAGGAAUAUACCUUAAAGAGGGGGACAACUUGGGGAAACUCAAGCUAAUACCGCAUAAUAUCCGAGGAUAAAAGCUGGGGACCUUCGGGCCUGGCGCUUUAAGAUUAGCCUGCGUCCGAUUAGCUAGUUGGUAGGGUAAAGGCCUACCAAGGCGACGAUCGGUAGCUGGUCUGAGAGGAUGACCAGCCACACUGGAACUGAGACACGGUCCAGACUCCUACGGGAGGCAGCAGUGGGGAAUAUUGGACAAUGGGGGCAACCCUGAUCCAGCAAUGCCGCGUGUGUGAAGAAGGCCUGAGGGUUGUAAAGCACUUUCGUUAGGGAGGAGGCUACUUAGGUUAAGAGUUAAAGUAGUGGACGUUACCUUUAGAAGAAGCACCGGCUAACUCCGUGCCAGCAGCCGCGGUAAUACGGAGGGUGCGAGCGUUAAUCGGAAUUACUGGGCGUAAAGGGUGCGUAGGUGGUCUGAUAAGUUAUCUGUGAAAUCCCUGGGCUCAACCUGGGCAGGUCAGAUAAUACUGUUGGACUCGAGUAUGGGAGAGGGUAGUGGAAUUUCCGGUGU
rnacentral:rRNA from 1 species